ACAUGUCUUACGUGAAUGGGUACU
rnacentral:siRNA from 1 species